AUUGAACGCUGGCGGCAUGCUUUACACAUGCAAGUCGAACGGUAACAGGCCUUCGGGUGCUGACGAGUGGCGAACGGGUGAGUAAUGCAUCGGAACAUACCCAGUCGUGGGGGAUAACGUAGCGAAAGUUACGCUAAUACCGCAUACGUCCUGAGGGAGAAAGCGGGGGAGUCGCAAGACCUCGCGCGAUUGGAGUGGCCGAUGUCAGAUUAGCUAGUUGGUGGGGUAAAGGCCCACCAAGGCGACGAUCUGUAGCGGGUCUGAGAGGAUGAUCCGCCACACUGGGACUGAGACACGGCCCAGACUCCUACGGGAGGCAGCAGUGGGGAAUUUUUGGACAAUGGGGGAAACCCUGAUCCAGCCAUGCCGCGUGCGGGAAGAAGGCCUCGG
rnacentral:rRNA from 1 species